AGCGCAACUUCCUGACUAGGAGCCAAUCAGAGGGCCCGCGUGGAAAUAUAGGCGCAGGGGGUGGGAGUGGGAAAGGGAGCUCCGCUUCCGGCGGCAGGGUCUGGGGAAGGGGCGGCAGGCGCCAUGUCCGGCCGCGAAGGUGGCAAGAAGAAGCCCCUGAAGCAGCCCAAGAAGCAGGCCAAGGAGAUGGACGAGGAAGAUAAGGCAUUCAAGCAGAAACAGAAAGAGGAGCAGAAGAAACUCGAGGAGCUAAAAGCGAAGGCCGCGGGGAAGGGCCCCCUGGCCACAGGUGGAAUUAAGAAAUCUGGCAAAAAGUAAGCUGUUCCUGUGCCCGAGGCAAUGAUGAUCCUUAAUUCCAUUCCUGUUUAAACAUCUGGAUUCCCUGUCAUAGCGUCUGUUGCUACCUAUAGCUGGAAUGAAGUGUUGUCUUAGAUUCUGUUGUACAUUUAAGAAUAAACUUUUGUAAA